AUUUUGGGGCAAAAGAGGGCGCUUUUGGGCCAGAUGUGCUGUGUUUUAGGGGGAAACGCGGCUGUUUUGGGGGAAACUCUUGGCUUUUUAGGGAACCAUGUUGGGUUUUGGGGGAGCCAUGUUGGAUUAUGGGAAAUGUGCUGGCGUUUUGGGGGAACUCUUGGUGUUCUGGGGGAGCCAUGUUGGGUUUUGGGGGAACUCUUGAUGUUUUGGGGGAACUCUUGGUAUUUUGGGGAACCAUGUUGGCGUUUUGGGGCAACUUUUGGCAUUUUGGGGGAACCACAUUGGGUUUUGGGGGAGCUCUUGGUAUUUUAGGGUAACCAUGUUGGGUUUUGGGGAACUCUUGAUGUUUUGGGGGAACCAUGUUGGGUUUUGGGGGAGCCAUCUUGGAUUAUGGGAAAUGUGUUGGUGUUUUGGGGGAACUCUUGGUGUUUUGGGGGAACCACGUUGGGUUUUGAGGAAACUCUUGAUGUUUUGGGGGAGCUCUUGGUAUUUUGGGGGAGCCAUGUUGGGUUUUGGGGGAACCAUGUUGGAUUAUGGGAAAUGUGUUGGUGUUUUGGGGGAACUCUUGGUGUUUUGGGGGAACCGUGUUGGGUUUGGGUGGAGCCAUGUUGGAUUAUGGAAAAUGUGUUGGUGUUUUGGGGAACUCUUGGUAUUUUGGGGGAACCAUGUUGGUUUUGGGGGAACCAUGUUGGGUUUUGUGGGGGCUCUUUGUGUUUUGGGGGAACCAUGUUGGCGUUUUGGGGGAACUCUUGGCAUUUUGGGGGAACCAUGUUGGGUUUUGGGGGAGCUCUUGGUGUUUUGGGGGAACCACGUUGGGUUUUCGGGGGUCUUGUGCUGUUUUGAUGGAGCCAUGUUGGGUUUUGGGGGGGGUCUUGGUGUUUUGGGGGAGCCAUAUUAGGCUUUGGGGGAGCCAUGUUGGAUUAUGGGAAAUGUGUUGGCAUUUUGGGGGAACUCCUGGUAUUUUGGGGGAGCCAUGUUGGGUUUUGGGGGAACUCUUGGUAUUUUGGGGGA
rnacentral:lncRNA from 1 species